GAUGAAGAACGUAGCGAAAUGCGAAAAGUAAUGUGAAUUGCAGAAUUCAGUGAACCAUCGAAUCUUUGAACGCACAUUGCGCCCGCUGGAACUCCGGCGGGCACGCCUGUCCGAGCGUCAUUUCACCACUCAAGCCUGGCUUGGUGUUGGGCGACGUCCUCUUUGGGGACGCGCCUCGAAACGCUCGGCGGCGUGGCACCGGCUUUAAGCGUAGCAGAAUCUUUCGCUUUGGAAGUCGGGGCCCCGUCUGCCGGAAGACCUGCUCGCAAGGUUGACCUCGGAUCAGGCAGGGAUACCCGCUGAACUUAAGCAUAUCAAUAAGCGGAGGA
rnacentral:misc_RNA from 1 species